CCCUUUGCGUUUAUUGCGCGCAAGGCCUAUAUCGGUCGGGCAAGGGGCUUCGGCCCUGGCUAUGGCGAUAAACGGCGGCGUAUAAUAGACGCAGCGGACCCGGGGGCAGUACCCGGCGGCUCCACCAAAGACCCUCGGCGACGGGGGCCUCUGACGGGGCCGAACCAGGAUCGACGUGUGUUGAACGGCGCUGCCUUUUGCUCGGAAUGGGACCACCGUGACGGCCCAUACACAAGUGCCAACGAUAACGAAGCACUCGCGAUUGCGGCGUAACUGAGGGCCUCACGGCCUAAGGUUACUCCAAGAUAGCGCGGUCGGACCCCACCGGGCAACAGAAGGGGAUUCCA
rnacentral:tmRNA from 1 species